AACUUUCAACAAUGGAUCUCUUGGCUCUGGCAUCGAUGAAGAACGCAGCGAAAUGCGAUAAGUAGUGUGAAUUGCAGAAUUCAGUGAAUCAUCGAAUCUUUGAACGCACAUUGCGCCCCUUGGUAUUCCGGGGGGCAUGCCUGUUCGAGC
rnacentral:rRNA from 1 species